AUACGUAUUUUACUAUUUAUAUAUACGUAUUUUAUUAAUUACGUAUACGUAUGUAUGAAUAGUAUUUUACUAUGCAAUUGCACAGUGAAGGGCCGGCUGAAACGUGGGCUGCGGAUUCUUUCCGUUUCAAAAUUUUAAUUAAUUUGAAUAUAAUAAUGAAUAGUGCAUAGUGCAUAGUAAUUUAUAAUAUUAUUUUAAUGAAUAGUGCAUAGUGCAUAGUAACUUCAAAAUUUCUAUAAAUAGGGGCUUAAGGUUUUGGAAAUUCAGAAUUCUAGAGAGAAAGAAAUUCUGGAGAAAUAGAGAGAGAAAGUAAGAGAGAGAGAAGGAAAAAGAAAAUAAGGUUCUGCCUAGGUUUUGAAAGAGGAGGAGAAUAGAGAAGGUUCUGCCCUUGUUUCGAUAAUCAUCUAAGAAGAAAAAGAGGAGAUUCUGCCGAAUUCUUUUUUAUCCAGGUAAUCUUAAUCAUGAGGAUGUUGGUAAUGAAGUCUAGAGGCUUAAGUGGGCAUGCUCUGAUAGGAUGUGACAUCGGGCUUAGCUAGGCUUCUUUCUGGGAUAAUAAUGUUUUAUUUUCUUUUUUUUGAAAUUUAAAUAUAUUUGUAUGAUAUCAAAAAAAAUUAUAAAUUGAUUCCUAACUAGGAGGCACUGCCACCUUUACUGGGAUUAAUUUAUAAUCUUUGUUUUAUUAUGACUUCUUGAGUUUGGUAUAAAUGUUAAUUACGAAUGUGCAUCUUCUACCUUAUGAUAUUUAUUAUCACUCUAA